rnacentral:rRNA from 1 species
CUUUAUUGGAGAGUUUGAUCCUGGCUCAGGACGAACGCUGGCGGCGUGCCUAAUACAUGCAAGUCGAGCGAAUCGGAGGGAGCUUG